rnacentral:rRNA from 1 species
AGCUAUGGCCUUACCACCCUGAAUGCAUCUGACCUUCUCUGAUCUCAGAAACUAAGCAGAGUAGAGUCUGGUUAGUAUUUGGAUGGGAGAAGCUGUAAAGAUAUCCUCUGUCUGUAUAGGUA